rnacentral:lncRNA from 1 species
GUUAAUCUUCAAUACCCCUUUGUACUUACGAUCCUGUAUCCACUGACUGUCUUGUUAGAUUAACCCAAUAAAUUUCAUUCACUCCGCAUACUCAAUCCUAUAGACACCCAUUUAAUCCUUCAAUCACAGACGUAACUCGAUUUUACAAAACAGUCAAGAGUAUUCAAAUCCACUUCAUUUAAAAAUCCCGAUUCACCAUUACAACACUAACUUCAGCAGCGAUUG